CUCCCGGAAGAUUCACUCCACCUCUGCCGUAACAAGAUUGGAUCAGCUCAUUCUCUUCCACUUACUCACCUCCACUGCCUGCUUCGUCACCUGGAUUCUCCUGCAACCACAAGUCUCUUAUUAACGCACAAGAAUGUCUUAAGAGGAAGAUGGAACGACAGAGAGAAGACCGGUUGGAGCACGAGAUGUUUCUCAUAAAUGAAAUAGAAAAACAUUCUUCUGAUAAUGACAUAUUACAACAAAAUCUUGAAAAACUUCAUCGGCGCCUCAAUGACCUCGGACAUUACACCAAUCUAACUGAACGUCGAGUCGAGAAACUUUCAGAAGAAAAUGGUUUACUGUCAUUUGAGAUUAAAAAGCAGUGUUUUAAGGUCAUUAACUCAAACAAAUCUUUGGGCUGAGAAAUGUUGAUCAUCAGACAAGACUAAAGAACUACAGAUUGAGCUCCACAAGGUCACUGCUGAAAAGGAGUUCCUAUUGGAAAGGAAUCAAAUUCUUCAGGCAAAGAAUUUGCAUGUGGCAUA